UAGGGAAUCUUCCGCAAUGGACGCAAGUCUGACGGAGCAACGCCGCGUGAGUGAAGAAGGAUUUCGGUUCGUAAAACUCUGUUGUUAGAGAAGAACAGCGCAUAGAGUAACUGUUAUGCGUGUGACGGUAUCUAACCAGAAAGCCACGGCUAACUACGUGCCAGCAGCCGCGGUAAUACGUAGGUGGCAAGCGUUGUCCGGAUUUAUUGGGCGUAAAGCGAGCGCAGGCGGUCAAUUAAGUCUGAUGUGAAAGCCCCCGGCUCAACCGGGGAGGGUCAUUGGAAACUGGUUGACUUGAGUGCAGAAGAGGAGAGUGGAAUUCCAUGUGUGCGGUGAAAUGCGUAGAUAUAUGGAGGAACACCAGUGGCGAAGGCGACUCUCUGGUCUGUAACUGACGCUGAGGCUCGAAAGCGUGGGUAGCAAACAGG
rnacentral:rRNA from 1 species